GGACCGAAAUCUAGUAGGGAAGUAUGUGAGCCAUGCGUCAAGAAAAGCCGCUAUUGUUCUUAUUGUACCCGUACCGUAAACCGACACAGGUGGAUGAGGAGAGAAUCCUAAGGCCGACGGAAGAAGCAUUGUUAAGGAACUCGGCAAAAUGACCCCGUAACUUCGGGAGAAGGGGUGCCACAGAAAUGUGGCCGCAGAGAAUAGGCUCAAGCAACUGUUUAGCAAAAACACAGGUCUAUGCAAAACCGAAAGGUGAGGUAUAUGGGCUGACGCCUGCCCGGUGCUGGAAGGUUAAGAGGAGAGGUUAGCGCAAGCGAAGCUUUGAAUUGAAGCCCCAGUAAACGGCGGCCGUAACUAUAACGGUCCUAAGGUAGCGAAAUUCCUUGUCGGGUAAGUUCCGACCCGCACGAAAGGCGUAAUGAUUUGAGCGCUGUCUCGACAAUGCAUCCGGUGAAAUUGAAGUACCAGUGAAGAUGCUGGUUACCUGCGCCAGGACGGAAAGACCCCAUGGAGCUUUACUCCAGCUUGAUACUGGGAUUCGGUAUUGCAUGUACAGGAUAGGUGGGAGGCUGAGAAUCGGUAACGCCAGUUGCCGAGGAGCCAUUGUUGGGAUACCACCCUUGCAGUACUGGGUUUCUAACCAGCAGCCGUGACCGGGCUGGGGGACAAUGUCAGGUGGGGAGUUUGACUGGGGCGGUCGCCUCCGAAAGGGUAUCGGAGGCGCUCAAAGGUUCCCUCAGAAUGGUUGGAAACCAUUCGAAGAGUGCAAAGGCAGAAGGGAGCUUGACUGCGACACCGACGGGUGGAGCAGGUACGAAAGUAGGACUUAGUGAUCCGGUGGUAUUAAGUGGGAAUGCCAUCGUUCAACGGAUAAAGGCUACCCUGGGAUAACAGGCUUAUCACUCCCAAGAGUUCACAUCGACGGAGUGGUUUGGCACCUCGAUGUCGGCUCAUCGCAUCCUGGGGCUGUAGUAGGUCCCAAGGGUUGGGCUGUUCGCCCAUUAAAGCGGUACGCGAGCUGGGUUCAGGACGUCGUGAGACAGUUCGGUCCCUAUCCGGCGUGGGCGUAGGAUAUCUGAGAGGAGCUGUCCUUAGUACGAGAGGACCGGGAUGGACGGACCGCUGGUGUACCUGUUGCAGUGCCAGCUGCAUGGCAGGGUAGCCAAGUCCGGAAGGGAUAAACGCUGAAGGCAUCUAAGCGCGAAGCCCCCCUCAAGAUGAGAUAUCCCAUUCGAAAGAAGUAAGACCCCUUGAAGACGACGAGGUAGAUAGGGCAGAGGUGGAAGUGCAGUAAUGUAUGGAGCUGACUGUUACUAAUCGGUCGAGGGUUUGACC
rnacentral:rRNA from 1 species